rnacentral:rRNA from 1 species
GACGAACGCUGGCGGCGUGCUUAACACAUGCAAGUCGAACGGAAAGGCCCUGCUUUUGUGGGGUGCUCGAGUGGCGAACGGGUGAGUAACACGUGAGUAACCUGCCCUUGACUUUGGGAUAACUUCAGGAAACUGGGGCUAAUACCGGAUAGGAGCUCCUGCUGCAUGGUGGGGGUUGGAAAGUUUCGGCGGUUGGGGAUGGACUCGCGGCUUAUCAGCUUGUUGGUGGGGUAGUGGCUUACCAAGGCUUUGACGGGUAGCCGGCCUGAGAGGGUGACCGGCCACAUUGGGACUGAGAUACGGCCCAGACUCCUACGGGAGGCAGCAGUGGGGAAUAUUGCACAAUGGGCGGAAGCCUGAUGCAGCAACGCCGCGUGCGGGAUGACGGCCUUCGGGUUGUAAACCGCUUUCGCCUGUGACGAAGCGUGAGUGACGGUAAUGGGUAAAGAAGCACCGGCUAACUACGUGCCAGCAGCCGCGGUGAUACGUAGGGUUCGAGCGUUGUCCGGAUUUAUUGGGCGUAAAGGGCUCGUAGGUGGUUGAUCGCGUCGGAAGUGUAGUCUUGGGGCUUAACCCUGAGCGUGCUUUCGAUACGGGUUGACUUGAGGAAGGUAGGGGAGAAUGGAAUUCCUGGUGGAGCGGUGGAAUGCGCAGAUAUCAGGAGGAACACCAGUGGCGAAGGCGGUUCUCUGGGCCUUUCCUGACGCUGAGGAGCGAAAGCGUGGGGAGCGAACAGGCUUAGAUACCCUGGUAGUCCACGCUGUAAACGGUGGGUACUAGGUGUGGGGUCCAUUCCACGGGUUCCGUGCCGUAGCUAACGCUUUGAGUACCCCGCCUGGGGAGUACGGCCGCAAGGCUAAAACUCAAAGGAAUUGACGGGGCCCCGCACAAGCGGCGGAGCAUGCGGAUUAAUUCGAUGCAACGCGUAGAACCUUACCUGGGUUUGACAUGGAUCGGGAGCGCUCAGAGAUGGGUGUGCCUCUUUUGGGGUCGGUUCACAGGUGGUGCAUGGCUGUCGUCAGCUCGUGUCGUGAGAUGUUGGGUUAAGUCCCGCAACGAGCGCAACCCUUGUUCACUGUUGCCAGCACGUUAUGGUGGGGACUCAGUGGAGACCGCCGGGGUCAACUCGGAGGAAGGUGGGGAUGACGUCAAGUCAUCAUGCCCCUUAUGUCCAGGGCUUCACGCAUGCUACAAUGGCUGGUACAGAGAGUGGCGAGCCUGUGAGGGUGAGCGAAUCUCGGAAAGCCGGUCUCAGUUCGGAUUGGGGUCUGCAACUCGACCUCAUGAAGUCGGAGUCGCUAGUAAUCGCAGAUCAGCAACGCUGCGGUGAAUACGUUCCCGGG